rfam:Stegodyphus mimosarum contig12763, whole genome shotgun sequence.
GCCUUUGUGGUGCAUUGGUCAGCACACUUGGCACGUAUUCGAGAGGUCCAAGGUUCGAGUCCCGGCGAGGGCA